UUGUUUCCUGUUCAGGGACCUGGGCUGAGGUUGCCAUCAAUACCCGUUUAAUUUCAUUGCACGGAGAGCACACCCUCAUAUAUACUGAGAGCAUAUUGGAAUCCCCAUUGCUGUGACCCCAAAGCUCUUACGAACGGUGACAAUAAGUGGCAGUUAUAAAGCGAUUUCCAGCUUGCUAAGCAUUAGGAGCGCUCUUUAUUCCUGGAGAGGCAGAGGCCAAACAGAACACGGGUGUAAAGACAGCUUCGGCUAAUGGGUUUCCGUUUGGCUGAUACCACAUGGACCAAGAAGGGCUGAAUGUGGAGAACCACUGAAGGGAGGUGAAUGCCUGAGCCUGUAGUUCUUCCUUGACCUUCAGGGAAAUAGCUCCUGCUAUCGAUAUACUCAUUACCAGAGGAGUUCUGCUGGAGGCUUGAGCUUUUGGCAAAGACUUGCAGGUGCCUCAAGACCACAUCAGAUCAGCAAAGGUCAAUAAACCA